rnacentral:rRNA from 1 species
ACGGUCUCUUCGGAGGCAGUGGCAGACGGGUGAGUAACGCGUGGGAACAUACCUUUCGGUACGGAACAACAGUUGGAAACGACUGCUAAUACCGUAUACGCCCUCAGGGGGAAAGAUUUAUCGCCGAGAGAUUGGCCCGCGUUGGAUUAGCUAGUUGGUGGGGUAAUGGCCUACCAAGGCGACGAUCCAUAGCUGGUCUGAGAGGAUGAUCAGCCACACUGGGACUGAGACACGGCCCAGACUCCUACGGGAGGCAGCAGUGGGGAAUAUUGGACAAUGGGCGCAAGCCUGAUCCAGCCAUGCCGCGUGAGUGAUGAAGGCCUUAGGGUUGUAAAGCUCUUUCGCCGGUGAAGAUAAUGACGGUAACCGGUAAAGAAGCCCCGGCUAACUUCGUGCCAGCAGCCGCGGUAAUACGAGGGGGGCUAGCGUUGUUCGGAAUUACUGGGCGUAAAGCGCACGUAGGCUGACUUUUAAGUCAGGGGUGAAAUCCCGGGGCUCAACCUCGGAACUGCCUUUGAUACUGGAAGUCUUGAGUCCGAGAGAGGUGAGUGGAACUCCGAGUGUAGAGGUGAAAUUCGUAGAUAUUCGGAAGAACACCAGUGGCGAAGGCGGCUCACUGGCUCGGUACUGACGCUGAGGUGCGAAAGCGUGGGGAGCAAAAAAGGAUUAAAUACCCCUGGUAGUCCCACGCCGUAAACGAUGGAAAGCUAGCUGGUCAGGUAGCAUGCUAUUUUGGGUGGCGCAGCUAACGCAUUAAGCUUUCCCGCCUGGGGGAGUACGGUCGCAAAAUUAAAACUUAAAGGAAUUGACGGGGGCCCGCAC